CCUUAAAAAGACACCGCUUCACGCUUUCCACGCAUAGGUUGUCCCUCAUGACCUCAAUCACCAUGUCCUCCCUCCAGCAGACCAUGGUCCUGCUAUCUCCGGUGGCCAUCCUCUUUCUCGAUCUUACGCCGGCCUCCUACGGUAGCGGCUAGCUCGCUGUUGCACCCCAAUCAUGCGAGGCCCCUUUCUGUACCCCUGCUGCACAGUCCAGCCGGCCACACGGCCGUCUUUUCAUGGAUCUAGAUGCGUACUCCACUGCUUCUUGUUUCUAGAUCCAUGAAAACUCUGCUUUGUUGUACCUCUAGAGCUUGGGAUGCCUGAUUGGUUUACUUAGUAUGAAAGGAAGAUGAAGUGAUCAUGAUGGCUUCUAAUGAGUUCAAUUUAGGCUAACAGAGAUAAAAAUGGUUAAUGAAGUGGAUGAGGCAUACCGAUGUCAGUCAAAUUACGACCAUUGGUGAGGCCGCCGAGUGGAGCUACUACAAGAGACGGGCGCAGCAGCUCUCUGGACAUGAACAUUGUUCUAGGUCAAUUCAUCAUCAGUCAAUAAGAGGGUAAUCCGAAUUCUGAAAUUUCGUUUUCUAUUUUCUAACCCAUCAAAUCAAUUUAUGGCUUGAGUCUUGAGGUCAUGUUCAUAGGAAAUCAAUUUGCAAUUGUAUGUAAUGGUUGCUCUCUACAGUUUUAUCAAAUAGCCUUUAAUAUUUGGAAUUUACAGCUAUGGCCUAUAGACUAAAGAAUAAGGUAUUUUCAGCUUGAUAUUUGGGCAGUCUCGGCAGGUUCUUUCUUGCCCUGGUGUACAACAGCAAGAACUACCGCAAUUAGCUUAUGUAUACUUGAACGAAUCUUCCUUUUUUGUUGGAUCACCGGUGUCAAUUUGUUCGGGUAGAACCAUAUUUAUUUCUUGGGAAUCCAAAUUGAAAAAGUAGGCCUUUAUACCUUUUUUGUUUCUUACCACAAGAGGGUAUGGAUGACCAUCUCAAUCGGUGGCAUUCCGUUAAUUUUUAAAUCACAAUACAUCUUACAUUAUAUAUUUACUAAUUGGAAGCACUAAUCGAGACACCAUGUUAAUCCUAGAAAAUUAACAAAAUCAUCCAUCCGAUCUUAGAGUUGCAUCUCUGGAGCCGUCGGAUGAAAUCCAUCAUAGUCCGUACGAACUAUCCCACAUGAGAAAGUUCCUUCUAGGCCUCUCCCUGAAAAAAAUAUUUCCAUCUCACCUCUUCCCCAUCUCUUCCACCCAUCCACGAUCUCCCUCCUCUGCCGCCUCUCCAUGUCCUCUUCUACCCAGCCCCGAUCUAUGUUGCAGACCUUGAAGAACGUGACCCAAUCUAAUACAUAUACAGGCAAUGCCAUGAAUCAUGAAGGUUUGACAUAGGUGACUAUGUCUGUCCUCAACAUACCUGACGUUUGAUCAUUAUUACUGGACCACGCCCUGUCCAAAAAUUAAUUAGGCAAACUGAAGCUAUGUUUAUUCCGUACAUUUUCUCAUGGUUCACGAAGAUAUAUGAAGCAGUUUGGCGACCCCAAAAUUCAUUGAUCUAAUAUGUAGUUUUCAAUUAAUGAUUCCACUGUCAGUUUUCAUCACUUAUCUGCUCUCUUUUAUCUGAAUUUUAUUUCUAAAGAACACAACACACACACAUGAGGUUGAAGGAAAUAGAGAACAGAAAUUCAGUCAUAGAGAGAGGCUUUUGCCAUGCCAAAACUUGCUUCAUUUUUAGUCUUUCCUUUCAUUUCAUCGCUUAACUGAACCAACGGGAAAUUCGCCACAAUCCAAUAGUUGCGUGUGCCAUCCCACGAGCCCAGAUUGUGCCGGGUCAAACGCUAAUUAAACAAGCUAAAAUUAGGUCUGGGCCACAACAGGAACGCAGCAAGAUUCUGGCUACAGUAAACAUUCAGAUCAAAGACACAUGUGAUUGCUUAUGCAGCUACUGAAGAAAUAAGAGAAACUAAAGAAAAACUUGCAGACAGAUUGAGGUUAACAUCAACAUCCGCAAGCACGAAUCGUCCGGCAGGAAAACAGUAAGCAGCACCAGCCCUUCGUCAACUCUAAUAGUACUGCUGUACGUAUUGAAGUUCUUCUGUUUCACUUCCUUUUUGUUAUGGCCGUGAAAUAGCCAUGGUACAUAAGUCAUUUUUUUUCUUGUGUAUAGAUAUCUCUCCACAUGUUUCCAUGUGGUAGCCAUUGCUAUUUCUUUCCUUAUAUGCAUAUUUAUUUACUAGGUCUGUUAACACGAGUGUCUCCCUAAGGUCCUAAAACAUUUACUGUGAAUUCUAUAUAAAAAAACCAUUUUUUUUGCAAAAAAGGCCAUGUAGAAAGUAACAUGAUAUUUUGUCUUUUAUAUUAAAAUCUAAUAAAUAGUAAAUCGAAAAAAAUACUAUGCGCCAUCCGCAGCUCCUUACUGUUCUUUGCAUAUUGUGUAUUUAUAAUAUGAUUUGUAUUGAUAUUUGCAAUUUGCAAAUCGAGUAUGUAUAAUAUUAUUUUUUGGCUCAGUAUGUGUCAGUUAUAUGAUUGUGAUUUAGUGUAAUUAGAUUAUGGAGGUCCUUCUCUUUUUAGGCUAUCGUCAUGUUGGUGCAACAAAUAUCUGCAUGACCAUGUACCUCUUAUGUGAUUAUCCAUUCUUUUAUUUCCAAGUAAAAUUCUACUUUAGGAUGGAUUAGCUAAGCUUUAGAUUGACCCCAAGUCACCACAGGACGCCUUGGUAUUGACAGAAACAUCACGUCAGAUACAAAAAUAAAUACAGAUAAAUGAGAUACAUAAUGCCUCAAAACCAAAGCUUGGGUUCACAAAGUCAAAAUUUCUCAGAUCUCAGGAGCCAUGAUAUGGAGUCCUUCCAAAAAGAUUUACAUCAAACUUAACAAAACUAAAUUGUUUCUACCCAAUUGUUUCCUAAAAGAUGUACGCAUUCUGUUUUGCUUUUAGUUUUCAGUUUGGAGCUACCUAUUGAAUUAGUUUUGUUGGGUGCUCACUAUCUAAAUUAUAACUGUGAUCAACAAAUGUGUAUUGUAUAUGGGAUAAUAUGUGGAUUAUGAUCUCAAGGGUGAAAAGAUAGAUUUAGUACGUCUUGAAGAUUUUGAUUUUCCCAAGUAUUUUAGGGAUACACAAAUGUAGUUGUAAUGUUCAAAUAUCUAUUUCCUCAACAAGCUUCAUUAUGAUCUCAACGCUGAUUUAAUCUAUUCAUCAUUUCAUCCAUGUUGCAUGAAAAUACCAACUGUAUUUAAAGAAGAAAAAACACUUAUUGUUUGAGUUCAUUCCAAUAUAUUGUAGCAGCAAAUAUUGUUAUCUGCUAAUUCUCAGUUGUGAAUUAGUUUGAAUUUGUUGUGGCCUGUUCUAGAGAUAAUUAGACCGCUCACGAAAUUAGACUACACAUUGGUCAUGUUGCAAGUGUUUAAAAUGGCUGCUCUGACUACAUUUUCAUCUAAGGGUUACUCAUUUAACUGUUACGUACUACUCUUUGGGGUAGCUUUCAUGCCAAAGAAGAGUACCAUAUGCAAAUGUUUAAAGCCAAAUUCUCUUUUUGUGUGGUUUCCCUUCCAGUUUUAUAUCCGUAUAAUCCAGAGUAAAAAAAGGCACCCCGGUGCAUGUAGCUCCCGCUUGCGCAGGGUCUGAUCAUAGAAAAAUAUUUUGUAGUCAUCUCAUAUAAUUUUGCAUGGCAGUUUCGCAGUGAUGAAUAGUAUCCUCUUUUCCUAUCUAGAGGUAAAUUGCAGGGUAGGAAAUCAAAUAUGAGCCUCAAGCAUGAUCAGAUAUAACUGCAAUCUUAGUUGUUAAAAAAUAAAAUAUGAGCUUCAUUUGUUGUAAACUUCUAGGAUAUUAAAUAUUCUAAAUCAUGUUCCCACAAAUGGCCACAACCAGGAUUAAUAUGAGAACUUUUAAAGAGGGUUGUCGUACAUGGUUUAAUUUUUUGCGAUACCGAUAGAACACAUGUAACAAUAAUGCAUUUGUACGGGUUUGUGCUUGCUUAAAGGACAAUCUGGUGCAUGUAGCUCCCGCUUGCACAGGAUCCAGGGAAGGGUCCGACCACUUUGGGUCUAUAGUACGCAGCCUUUCCCUACAUUUCUGUAAGAGGUUGUUUCCAGGGCUUGAACCCAUGACCUCAUGGUCACAAGGCAGCAGCUUUACCACUGCGCCAAGGCUUGCUUCCUUAACACAAAUUAGUGGGCAAGGCAAUCAGGAACUUUGUGCCACUUACUGGAAACCGAUUAUAUCCCACUGUUUUUUAACAGGAUCAACCUAUUUCUGGUAGCACUUGAAGCUACCAUGCUUUUUGGAUACGCAAAAGACUUAUGUUUUUGCAUUUUCUUAUCCUUUGGCUUGAUCCUGACACGCUGAAUUUUCAUUUUGCAGUGUCUCCCUAAGGUCCUAAAACAUUUACUGUGAAUUCUAUAUAAAAAAACCAUUUUUUUUUGCAAAAAUGGCCAUGUAGAAAGUAACAUGAUAUUUUGUCUUUUGUAUUAAAAUCUAAUAAAUAGUAAAUCGAAAAAAAUACUAUGCGCCAUCCGCAGCUCCUUACUGUUCUUUGCAUAUUGUGUAUUUAUAAUAUGAUUUGUAUUGAUAUUUGCAAUUUGCAAAUCGAGUAUGUAUAAUAUUAUUUUUUGGCUCAGUCUGUGUCAGUUAUAUGAUUGUGAUUUAGUGUAAUUAGAUUAUGGAGGUCCUUCUGUUUUUAGGCUAUCGUCAUGUUGGUGCAACAAAUAUCUGCAUGACCAUGUACCUCUUAUGUGAUUAUCCAUUCUUUUAUUUCCAAGUAAAAUUCUACUUUAGGAUGGAUUAGCUAAGCUUUAGAUUGACCCCAAGUCACCACAGGACGCCUUGGUAUUGACAGAAACAUCACGUCAGAUACAAAAAUAAAUACAGAUUAAUGAGAUACAUAAUGCCUCAAAACCAAAGCUUGGGUUCACAAAGUCGAAAUUUCUCAGAUCUCAGGAGCCAUGAUAUGGAGUCCUUCCAAAAAGAUUUACAUCAAACUUAACAAAACUAAAUUGUUUCUACCCAAUUGUUUCCUAAAAGAUGUACGCAUUCCGUUUUGCUUUUAGUGUUCAGUUUGAGCUACCCGUUGAAUUAGUUUUGUUGGGUGCUCACUAUCUAAAUUAUAACUGUGAUCAACAAAUGUGUAUUGUAUAUGGGAUAAUAUGUGGAUUAUGAUCUCGAGGGUGAAAAGAUAGAUUUAGUACGUCUUGAAGAUUUUGAUUUUCCCAAGUAUUUUAGGGAUACACAAAUGUAGUUGUAAUGUCCAAAUAUCUAUUUCCUCAACAAGCUUCAUUAUGAUCUCAACGCUGAUUUAAUCUAUUCAUCAUUUCAUCCAUGUUGCAUGAAAAUACCAACUGUAUUUAAAGAAGAAAAAACACUUAUUGUUUGAGUCCAGUCCAAUAUAUUGUAGCAGCAAAUAUUGUUAUCUGCUAAUUCUCAGUUGUGAAUUAGUUUGAAUUUGUUGUGGCCUGUCCUAGAGAUAAUUAGACCGCUCACGAAAUUAGACUACACAUUGGUCAUGUUGCAAGUGUUUAAAAUGGCUGCUCUGACUACAUUUUCAUCUAAGGAUUACUCAUUUAACGGUUACGUACUACUCUUUGGAGUAGCUUUCAUGCCAAAGAAGAGUACUAUAUGCAAACGUUUAAAGCCAAAUUCUCUUUUCGUGUGGUUUCCCUUCCAGUUUUAUAUCCGUAUAAUCCAGAGUAAAAAAAGGCACCCCGGUGCAUGUAGCUCCCGCUUGCGCAGGGUCUGAUCAUAGAAAGAUAUUUUGUAGUCAUCUCAUAUAAUUUUGCAUGGCAGUUUCGCAAUGAUGAAUAGUAUCCCCUUUUCCUAUCUGAGGUAAAUUGCAGGGUAGGAAAUCAAAUAUGAGCCUCAAGCAUGAUUAGAUAUAACUGCAAUCUUAGUUGUUAAAAAAAAUAUGAGCUUCAUUUGUUGUAAACUUCUAGGAUAUUAAAUAUUCUAAAUCAUGUUCCCACAAAUGGCCACAACCAGGAUUAAUAUGAGAACUUUUAAAGAGGGUUGUCGUACAUGGUUUAAUUUUUUGCGAUACCGAUAGAACACAUGUAACAAUAAUGCAUUUGUACGGGUUUGUGCUUGCUUAAAGGACAAUCUGGUGCAUGUAGCUCCCGCUUGCACAGGAUCCAGGGAAGGGUCCGACCACUUUGGGUCUAUAGUACGCAGCCUUUCCCUACAUUUCUGUAAGAGGUUGUUUCCAGGGCUUGAACCCAUGACCUCAUGGUCACAAGGCAGCAGCUUUACCACUGCGCCAAGGCUUGCUUCCUUAACACAAAUUAGUGGGCAAGGCAAUCAGGAACUUUGUGCCACUUACUGGAAACCGAUUAUAUCCCACUGUUUUUUAACAGGAUCAACCUAUUUCUGGUAGCACUUGAAGCUACCAUGCUUUUUGGAUACGCAAAAGACUUAUGUUUUUGCAUUUUCUUAUCCUUUGGCUUGAUCCUGACACGCUGAAUUUUCAUUUUGCAGUGUCUCCCUAAGGUCCUAAAACAUUUACUGUGAAUUAUAUAUAAAAAACCAUUUUUUUUUUGCAAAAAAGGCCAUGUAGAAAGUAACAUGAUAUUCUGUCUUUUAUAUUAAAAUCUAAUAAAUAGUAAAUCGAAAAAAUACUAUGCGCCAUCCGCAGCUCCUUACUGUUCUUUGCAUAUUGUGUAUUUAUAAUAUGAUUUGUAUUGAUAUUUGCAAUUUGCAAAUCAAGUAUGUAUAAUAUUAUUUUUUGGCUCAGUAUGUGUCAGUUAUAUGAUUGUGAUUUAGUGUAAUUAGAUUAUGGAGGUCCUUCUGUUUUUAGGCUAUCGUCAUGUUGGUGCAACAAAUAUCUGCAUGACCAUGUACCUCUUAUGUGAUUAUCCAUUCUUUUAUUUCCAAGUAAAAUUCUACUUUAGGAUGGAUUAGCUAAGCUUUAGAUUGACCCCAAGUCACCACAGGACGCCUUGGUAUUGACAGAAACAUCACGUCAGAUACAAAAAUAAAUACAGAUUAAUGAGAUACAUAAUGCCUCAAAACCAAAGCUUGGGUUCACAAAGUCGAAAUUUCUCAGAUCUCAGGAGCCAUGAUAUGGAGUCCUUCCAAAAAGAUUUACAUCAAACUUAACAAAACUAAAUUGUUUCUACCCAAUUGUUUCCUAAAAGAUGUACGCAUUAUGUUUUGCUUUUAGUUUUCAGUUUGGAGCUACCUAUUGAAUUAGUUUUGUUGGGUGCUCACUAUCUAAAUUAUAACUGUGAUCAACAAAUGUGUAUUGUAUAUGGGAUAAUAUGUGGAUUAUGAUCUCAAGGGUGAAAAGAUAGAUUUAGUACGUCUUGAAGAUUUUGAUUUUCCCAAGUAUUUUAGGGAUACACAAAUGUAGUUGUAAUGUCCAAAUAUCUAUUUCCUCAACAAGCUUCAUUAUGAUCUCAACGCUGAAUUAAUCUAUUCAUCAUUUCAUCCAUGUUGCAUGAAAAUACCAACUGUAUUUAAAGAAGAAAAAACACUUAUUGUUUGAGUUCAGUCCAAUAUAUUGUAGCAGCAAAUAUUGUUAUCUGCUAAUUCUCAGUUGUGAAUUAGUUUGAAUUUGUUGUGGACUGUCCGAGAGAUAAUUAGACCGCUCACGAAAUUAGACUACACAUUGGUCAUGUUGCAAGUGUUUAAAAUGGCUGCUCUGACUACAUUUUCAUCUAAGGGUUACUCAUUUAACUGUUACGUACUACUCUUUGGAGUAGCUUUCAUGCCAAAGAAGAAUACUAUAUGCAAACGUUUAAAGCCAAAUUCUCUUUUCGUGUGGUUACCCUUCCAGUUUUAUAUCCGUAUAAUCCAGAGUAAAAAAAAGGCACCCCGGUGCAUGUAGCUCCCGCUUGCGCAGGGUCUGAUCAUAGAAAAAUAUUUUGUAGUCAUCUCAUAUAAUUUUGCAUGGCAGUUUCGCAAUGAUGAAUAGUAUCCUCUUUUCCUAUCUAGAGGUAAAUUGCAGGGUAGGAAAUCAAAUAUGAGCCUCAAGCAUGAUCAGAUAUAACUACAAUCGUAGUUGUCAAAAAAAUAAAAAUAUGAGCUUCAUUUGUUGUAAACUUCUAGGAUAUUAAAUAUUCUAAAUCAUGUUCCCACAAAUGGCCACAACCAGGAUUAAUAUGAGAACUUUUAAAGAGGGUUGUCGUACAUGGUUUAAUUUUUUGCGAUACCGAUAGAACACAUGUAACAAUAAUGCAUUUGUACGGGUUUGUGCUUGCUUCCUCAACACAAAUUAGUGGGCAAGGCAAUCAGGAACUUUGUGCCACUUACUGGAAACCGAUUAUAUCCCACUGUUUUUGAACAGGCUCAACCUAUUUCUGGUAGCACUUGAAGCUACCAUGGUUUUUGGAUACCCAAAAGACUUAUGUUUUUGCAUUUUCUUAUCCUUUGGCUUGAUCCUGACAUGCUGAAUUUUCAUUUUGCAGCACUUACACUGCUUGAGGAACCGUGUCUCUUUGAAAAGCUCAUAUGGUUUGAAAUCAAUGUUUAUAUGUAAAGAGAUUUGUCUCAGGUGCAACAAAAAAAGCAGAUCAAUUUGGUGUGCAAGAGGCUGAUGAUAACUAUUUGAUUUUUUUCUUAUCUCCCAGACAUGAUUAAUUUUCUUACCUGUACGAUUCUGUACUUUAUGACACUAUAGCUUCCUAUUAUCAGUGUUUUUUAGGAUGGUAUGACCAUGUACUGGAUGGUAUUUCACAACCUGAAUGGUCUUUAUCUUUUCUAAAAAAUUAUUGGAUUUAAUACUUUA